CCAGGAGGCUGGGCUCCGUGUGGAUCGGUCUCCGCUGGAAACGCCUCUGCUGGAUGUGCUCCAAUCCAGAGCACACACCUGGGGGAGGAAAGGGUUAAGCUCAAAGGGGAAAGGGACGGGGGUGCUGAGACGCAGACAAAGGUGCAGGGACUUCCACAGAGCAGGGGCUCUGCGCCUGGACGCACUGACGCUCUGGCCUCUUUCCUCCAGGAACAAGGGGAAAACUCUCCUGUCUUCCCUUACCUGCCACCCUCCGAAGACCUCCUGCCUGGUCCCGGGCCACCCGCAUCCCUGACUCCCCCAACGUCCCUCGGGCCCUCUCUCCAACCUGGAGGGCAGGGCAAGACGAAGACUGGACCUGGAGCUUCCGGAAGCUGGGCCUCCCUCUCAGGCUUGGCCCUUGCCAGGGGCACUGAUGCGUCUCUCCCCACGCGUAGAAGGGCUGCAAUCCCUAGGGCAGGGCUGCUGGGAAGCCCCAUCAAGGCAAGGUCUGCGUAGACUACUUUAAUAGACAGACGUGAUGGGCUGUGAGGCCAACCCCGUUAACGUUCUAGCCCUGUGCCCUUGCCAGGGUUUAAAUGGUUUUGGAGGAAUUACUUCACUUCUCAGAACCAUGGUGUCCUCAUCUGUAAAAUAGAAAUCAUAAGAUUCCUCUUACCAGUUGCUUAAAGAAUCUAGAAGUGAAGUGUGCAGCAGAGUAUCCAGAGCAAUGCAAAUGGGAAAAUCUGACAAUAUCAAGUGUUGACAAGGAAGUGGAGCAACUGGAACUCCCAGACACUGCUGGUGGGAAGGCAAAGUGGUACAACCACUUUCAAAGUCUUUUUUUUUUUUUGAGACAGAGUUUUGCUCUUGUUACCUAGGCUGGAGUGCAAUGGCGUGAUCUCAGCUCACUGAAACCUCCGCCUCCUGGGUUCAGGCAAUUCUCCUGCCUCAGCCUCCCGAGUAGCUGGGACCACAGGCGUGCACCACCAUGCCCAGCUAAUUUUUGUAUUUUUAGUAGAAACGGGGUUUCACCAUAUUGACCAGGAUGGUCUCAAUCUCUUGACCUCAUGAUCCACCCGCCUUGGCCUCCCAAAGUGCUGGGAUUACAGGCAUCAGCCACCGCGCCCGGCCAGCAAAGUCUUCUUUAAAGGCCUUGAUUACUCAGCAAUUCUGCUCCUAGGUACACACCUAACAUCGUAUUUCUGUUGCUGGCAGCACUGUUUAUAAUCGCUCCAAACUGGAAACUACCCAAAUGUUCAUCAGCCAUUGAGUGGAUAUGUAAAUUGUGAUAUAGUCACAAAGCAGAAUGACAGUGAAUAACCUACAACUACACGUGGCAACGUGGAUGACUCUCACAAAUGAUGUUGAGAAAAAGAAGCCAGAGGAUAAAGAACAUAUACGUUUCCAUAUGGAUAAAGUGGUAGAAGGAAUAUAUGGGGGUAGCAGUCAGGAUAGUGGU
rnacentral:lncRNA from 1 species